GACGAACGCUGGCGGCGUGCUUAACACAUGCAAGUCGAACGGAAAGGCCCUGCUUUUGUGGGGUGCUCGAGUGGCGAACGGGUGAGUAACACGUGAGUAACCUGCCCUUGACUUUGGGAUAACUUCAGGAAACUGGGGCUAAUACCGGAUAGGAGCUCCUGCUGCAUGGUGGGGGUUGGAAAGUUUCGGCGGUUGGGGAUGGACUCGCGGCUUAUCAGCUUGUUGGUGGGGUAGUGGCUUACCAAGGCUUUGACGGGUAGCCGGCCUGAGAGGGUGACCGGCCACAUUGGGACUGAGAGACGGCCCAGACUCCUACGGGAGGCAGCAGGGGGGAGCAUUGCACAAUGGGCGGAAGCCUGAGGCAGCAACGCCGCGUGCGGGAUGACGGCCUUCGGGUUGUAAACCGCUGUCGCCUGUGACGAAGCGUGAGUGACGGUAAUGGGUAAAGAAGCACCGGCUAACUACGUG
rnacentral:rRNA from 1 species